CAGCACCCCUGGGUGAACACCCUGCCCAGGCCAGUAUUUCUGGCCACAUGUCACCUGGUGUCUCCCUGCCUGGAACGCAGGACCAGAAUGAACACGCCCAGACCUGCCUGGCUUUCUUUUCUGUUGAACUUGGGCCUACUUCUCAAGGUGGCGUCACUUUCCUUCGGGAGCAUCCGCCUUUGGUCUGCCCUCCCUGAAAAGUGAAGCAUGGCUUCCACCUGCAUCCACUGAGCUCUGCACCCAUUUGCAACUUGUGUUGAUCCCGGGCACGGCACAGGAGCAGCUGAAUGGUGUCCAUCAGUCUGUGAGUGACCCUGGGAAGAAGCGAAGGUCAGGAGACCCGGAGAUGCCUGCAGGCGUGUGGUGUGGACAUCUGACCAAGGGGCAGCACACAUCUGUCAACUGGUCUGGAGCCAGCGAGCCUCCAUCGAGAAUGUGGUCCUUGUUUCAGACUCUGACACCCACCCCACUCCUGACAAGAAGUGUGUCAAGAGAAGUGAAAUUGUCAACUUCCUGAGAACAAGGGCCAUGCAAGUUCUUUCUCCUGCUGACGUCUCAGCUCCUGGCACAAGGCAUAUUUGUUGAAAGAGUGAAUGAAUGAAUGAAAACAAAUAAAUGAAUGU